AGCACAGUUGCUGGAUCAUAUGGUAAGAAUAUGUUGGAUUCUGGGAGAAACUGCCAAACUGUCUUCCAUAGUGACUAUACCAUGUUGAUUUUCUAUCAGCAAU
rnacentral:pre_miRNA from 1 species